AAUACUUUUCCCACGUACAAAAUUGAGAUGUAUAGAUCUGAGAUUUAUAUAAGAUUGUAUAAUUGUUAUGGACUGGCUAUUAUAUAAAAUACCUAUGUAUUUCAUAGGAAAGUAUCCACUAUUUUUAGGGGAUGAGACUAAUUCUUCAUAGUUUCUGCCUUUAGUCUACCCUAUAAAACAGUUUAUUUUAUGUUAUUUAAUACCUGUAUAAUGUGUGUACAA